UAAUCCCUGCGCCGGCCUGAUGUAGCGUUUGGGAAGAACCAACACUAAGACAUAGGGAGUUUGACUCCAGACGCCUAUUGCAAGCCUUCCCCGGAUGGGCAGAAGGAAGCAUGAUCCGUUUGGGCAAACACCCACUGUAAUUAUUGGGGUUCUUCUUCAAAGCCAUCCGGUCGGGCAGGGUUUUU
rnacentral:other from 1 species